GGACAGGGGGCAGGGGCCAUGGGGCCAACAGCCACGGAUGCAGCCUUCUAGGAACUGGUCCGCAAACUCCCUUUAUUAAGCAUGCAAGCCUUCUGUAGAUCUGCGUACCCUUAUGGCCUCUGGGUCUGAGGCCCUACGAGGCUGCAGCCCACUGCAAAGCAGCUGGAGUGCCUGCCUUUGUCUGAACUAUGACCGCUAUGGGGCCCGCAGCUGCCUGGUCUCGGGGCCACUUGACAUUCUCCCCCAUUCCUCGCCCUAGAGCUCUUUACCACAGCAUUACCUCUCACUCCGAGUUAGGCCCAAAAAUUGGCUCCAAAGGCAAAAGUCUUGAAACAGGAGACAGAAAA